UGAGGCUUCACUCUUGCACUGGAAGUUUAUUAGGUAUGUAGGGAGAGCUUUCUAAAUGAGUUUUGUGAAGCACCAAAACAGAUUGUGUGGGAGGGUUGUGGAAUCUCUGCCAUUGGUAGUUUAAACAGAGGCUAGACAAACAUUGUCUGAAAUAGUUCAAAUAAGGCAGGGGGUUGGCUCUAGAAUGGUGCUCCCACGGUCUCUUUUCGGCCAUGUUAUUCUAUGAUUCUGUAUUGCUUUGCUUUAGAUCAUGAACUUCUGAAAUUCACACUCUUUGAAGGGUUUAGAGACCUUUUGAUAGGCCUUGCCAUAGAAGAUCUGGGAAAGGCUUGAUCUCAAAGUGCUCCAGAACAAAGUAAGCUAACCAGGGAAAGAGACUGGCUGCAGUGGGAGGAGACAGGCCUGACAGAUGUUUGCCAAGAAAAUGCUACUGCAGUGAUAGUUCUGAAGAGGGGGAGAUUAAGGAGAGUAGCCCCCUAACCUGAGCAUCUCCUGAAAUGUUUAAUGGUCAGAUGCCCAGAGCAAAUGCUGAGGAUUCUGGAGAAGAGGGGUGCCUCAUAUUGGAUGCUGGGGGAGAAGAUGUCUCUGGGGGGACAGAGCCACUGCUUGAUGAAGCCUCUCUCAUGACACCAGAAAGGUAGCACAGCAGCAGCCCAAUAAGCCCGGUAUUUGGAAAGAGAAGCUGCUUUUGUGACAAUUGGAGGCCUGGUGCUUCAGAAGAAGAGGGUGCUGUGGCCUUUAGAAGACAACUAGGAAUUGAACAAACAGGACCUGUCUGUGGGGUCGUAAAAGGCUCAUGAAAUCUCUUGGAGACUAUCUACUGAAUUAAAGGCCCAGACACCAGGUUCUAUGUAUGUAGUCAUAGGUUUUUAUAUAAUUUUUAUAAACUUUUCUUUACUUCUUUACUUACUGCUUCUUGGAGUCCUUAUUACAGCAGAGCAGCAAACUUUUAGACCAGAGGGGGCAAACCAGGACAGGGGUAUGUAACCUUUUUUAACUCUAUGCAUAUAGAUAUCUUUUCCAUUUCAUUAUAGUAUCUUUUACUUUCUGCUGUAAUGAAGACCCCAAGAAACAGUAACACCCCAACUUUACACCAGAAAAACCUCAGAAGGGUUAGACCAAGUCAGGGACGAAAACCCUUCUUGAAGAAUGGAAAACCAGAGCAAGCAUGUCCCAUCAUGUCUUUACCCUGUAGUGAAAGCAAUCUCACACAAGACUGCCAAAGAGAGACAAUGUUCCAGAAACACCAGGGGAACACGAUUCAGCUUGAAGGCCUCUAGCACCACUCACUGAAAACCACAGAAACACACACCCUGAGGAUCAGAAACUCCAUGAACAAGACCCCCCCCAAAAUCAAAGCAGAAGGACACGGUUAAAAAAAAAAAGACUGCAUGGUUUCUCAGAGGAAAACACAUCACCAAACCCUAAGAGAGCAACGUGUAAAAACACAAACAUUCACAGUUCCAAAGCUGCUGUCACGGUCUGUGAAUAAGAAAACACAAGACUGAUUACUCACACACUUUAGAGAAACCUGAGGAGGUUCUUCCCAUGUGUUUGAAGGAACAUGAUUAUUUUUCAAGUGAAAAGAGGGGAUUUUGGAGGGUUGCUGGCACCCAUACAGCCUUGAAAGAUCAUGAUUAUUGUGCAACCAAAAGGGCAGAUGUUGUACAGAGGGGAGGUGGUCUAUAUGAUCCUGACACUAGGCAUGGUAUGCAUUGUAAGAGGGGAAGGCCUUGAUAAACCUAAGAACAAGUGGCUUGCGGGGCAAAAAGUAAGGGCCUAUUUAAAGGCGAGGGUGGAAAAGGCUAAGUGCCUAUUGAGAAAGAAUAAGAGAACCCUAAAUACCCUAAACCUCCCCAAGCCUGUGGAGCCAGAGACCAGGCCUGGCAAAUGUGAUGUUAAAGACCUUCUAGAGAGGCCCUCAAAAACCUCAACUCCUCCCGGGUCUGUGGAAUCAGAAAGUAAAAAUGGUGAAAGUGAUUUAGAAGAUGCCUCAGAGGGUCCCUUAAAUGUAGACCCUCCUGAGCCAGUGGAGGAUGUUGUGCCAGAUGUAGAAAUGGUAUGGGUGAGAAGGCAGGAGUGGCCUAUAGCUAGGUUUGGAGCCCAGAGAUGUAUAGAGGAGUUUCGUUUUAGGAAUCUGGAACUUGUAUCAGUACACGUGGCUUUUGAAGCCAUAAGAAGGGGGGUAGAACGAACUGUAGAAAAUCUCCACCAUUUAUUCAUGCCUGCUGAUUAUGCCCAGCUCCGUAUUGAAGCAAACUGUAUGCACAACUGCUUAUAUUCCCCAGCUAUUAAUUUAAAUGACAUGUCCACUGA